rnacentral:rRNA from 1 species
UGGGUUUAGACCCACGGCGAACGGGUGAGUAAUACAUAGGAAUUUUCUUUAAGUUAAGAAUACCCUUCCGAAAGGAAGUACAAUACUUAAUGUGAUCGCAAGAUUAAAGCCGCAAGGCGCUUAAGGUGAAGCCUGUGCACUAUCAGCUAGUUGGUAAGGUAAAAGCUUACCAAGGCUAUGACAGUUAGCGGGCCCGAGAGGGUGAUCCGCCACACUGGGACUGCGACACGGCCCAG